rnacentral:rRNA from 1 species
CUUCUUUGAAGGUAUGCUUAAGGAGGGGCUUGCGACACAUUAGUUAGUUGGCAGGGUAAAGGCCUACCAAGACUAUGAUGUGUAGCUGGACUGAGAGGUUGAACAGCCACAUUGGGACUGAGACACGGCCCAAACUCCUACGGGAGGCAGCAGUAGGGAAUUUUCGGCAAUGGAGGAAACUCUGACCGAGCAACGCCGCGUGAACGAUGAAGUACCUCGGUAUGUAAAGUUCUUUUAUUAAGGAAGAAAAAAGAGUGGAAAAACUCCCUUGACGGUACUUAAUGAAUAAGCCCCGGCUAAUUAUGUGCCAGCAGCCGCGGUAAUACAUAAGGGGCGAGCGUUAUCCGGAAUUAUUGGGCGUAAAGGGUGCGUAGGCGGUUUAAUAAGUCUAUAGUUUAAUUUCAGUGCUUAACGCUGUUGUGCUAUAGAAACUGUUUUACUAGAGUGAGAUAGAGGCAAGCGGAAUUCCAUGUGUAGCGGUAAAAUGCGUAAAUAUAUGGAGGAACACCAGAGGCGUAGGCGGCUUGCUGGGUCUUUACUGACGCUGAGGCACGAAAGCGUGGGGAGCAAACAGGAUUAGAUACCCUGGUAGUCCACGCCGUAAACGAUGAGUACUAAGUGUCGGGUAAAACUGGUACUGAAGUUAACACAUUAAGUACUCCGCCUGAGUAGUACGUACGCAAGUAUGAAACUUAAAGGAAUUGACGGGACUCCGCACAAGCGGUGGAUCAUGUUGUUUAAUUCGAAGAUACACGAAAAACCUUACCAGGUCUUGACAUUUUCUUGCGAAAUUAUAGAAAUAUAAUGGAGGUUAUCAGGAAAACAGGUGGUGCAUGGUUGUCGUCAGCUCGUGUCGUGAGAUGUUAGGUUAAGUCCUAAAACGAGCGCAACCCUUGUCGUUAAUUGCCAGCAUGUAAUGAUGGGGACUUUAACGAGACUGCCAAUGAAAAAUUGGAGGAAGGUGGGGAUUACGUCAAAUCAUCAUGCCCCUUAUGAUCUGGGCUACAAACGUGAUACAAUGGUUGAUACAAAGAGUAGCUGAA